AGCGAACAUUGGCGGUAGGCUUAACACAUGCAAGUCGAGCGAGGCGUAAUAGUCGAGCGGCGAACGGGUGAGUAAUACAUGGGAAUCUACCCUGAAGUGGGGGAUAACGUUCAGAAAUGGACGCUAAUACCGCAUAAUCCACAUUGGGAAAGCGCGCUGCGCUUUAGGAUGAGCCCAUGGCUGAUUAGCUUGUUGGUGAGGUAACGGCUCACCAAGGCGACGAUCAGUAGCUGGUCUGAGAGGAUGAUCAGCCACACUGGGACUUAGACACGGCCCAGACUCCUACGGGAGGCAGCAGUGGGGAAUAUUGGACAAUGGGGGCAACCCUGAUCCAGCAAUGCCGCGUGAGUGAUGAAGGCCUUAGGGUUGUAAAGCUCUUUUACCGGGGACGAUGAUGACGGUACCCGGAGAAUAAGCCCCGGCUAACUUCGUGCCAGCCGCCGCCGUAA
rnacentral:rRNA from 1 species